GACGAACGCUGGCGGCGUGCUUAACACAUGCAAGUCGAACGGAAAGGCCCUGCUUUUGUGGGUUGCUCGAGUGGCGAACGGGUGAGUAACACGUGAGUAACCUGCCCUUGACUUUGGGAUAACUUCAGGAAACUGCGGCUAAUACCGGAUAUGAGCUCCUGCUGCAUGGUGGGGGUUGGAAAGUUUCGGCGGUUGGGGAUGUACUCGCGGCUUAUCAGCUUGUUGGUGGGGUAGUGGCUUACCAAGGCUUUGACGGGUAGCCGGACUGAGAGGGUGACCGGCCAGCUUGGCACUGCGAGAGGGCCCAGACGCCAAUGGGAGGCAGUGGGGGGGAAUAUGGCACAACGGCGGGAAGCGUGAUGCGGCAACGCCGGGUGCGGGAUGCCGGCCUUCGGGUUGUAAACAGCUGUCGCCUGUGACGAAGAGGGAGUGACGGUAAUGGGUAAAGAAGCAACGGCUAACUACGUG
rnacentral:rRNA from 1 species